AUGAACCUCUCCAACUAAACUGUGAACGCAUUACUCUGGAGUUCAUAUCAAUCACUGAUGGAAAGGAAGCCAUUGCCAGAGCAGCUAAUUUUCUUCUUGAAAAUAAGUGGAGAAAAACCAACAUGAGCGGUGAUCACAACCGGUGCUUUUCUGAAUCUCAGAUGACUGAGGCUUUAAAAGCAGUUGGUUGUGGAGGGCCUGAUCCUGACCUCAUUUUAGUAUAUGGGCCUACAAGAUGUCACUUAGGGUUUCCUGCAUGGAGAAUCCGCUACACAGAGAUUCUACACAUGGG
rnacentral:misc_RNA from 1 species